AACACGGGAGUCCUCUGGUAUAGUGAGGCUUCAACUGAGAGAGAAGCUGAAACACGGGAGUUCUCUGGUGUAGUGGGGCUUCAACUGAGAGAAGCUGAAACACGGGAGUCCUCUGGUGUAGUGGGGCUUCAACUGAGAGAGAAGCUGAAACACGGGAGUUCUCUGGUGUAGUGAGGCUUCAACUGAGAGAGAAGCUGAAACACAGGAGUCCUCUGGUGUAGUGGGGCUUCAACUGAGAGAGAAGCUGAAACACGGGAGUUCUCUGGUGUAGUGGGGCUUCAACUGAGAGAGAAGCUGAAACACGGGAGUCCUCGGGAGUAUGACAGUAAAGCACAAAUCAGCUGUUUCCUCAUCUUCACUCCAAUUCCUCUGACCAGAACUCACCUUCUCAAGUACAAUACUGUAUCUCAUACACGGUGUACUCAAAGGCAUACAUUGUAAUCAUGUUGUAGUCAUUGCUGUACAUUAUCCCCAUGCUUCAUUCAUAAUUCACACACAUUGAACAUGCUACAGUAUGUACAUAUUGUUAUUAGCUCUUCAGAACAGUCUUUACACACACACAUGACGCUGAAUGUCUCAGGAGGACAAUGCAUUCCAACCAGAGGAGGCUGGUGGGGGGGAGCUGUAGGAGGACAGGCUCAUUGUAAUGGCUGGAAUGAAAUACAUGGAAUGUAGUCAAACAUGUGUUUUCCAUAUGUUUGAUAUCGUUCCAAUAGUUCCAUUCCAGCGAUGACAAUGAGGCCGCCCUCCUAUAGCUCCUCCCACUAGCCUCCUCUGACUUCAACCCCGUACUGUCUUUGAGCUUAUCAUUACAGCAGACCUCUGCUCUACCCUGCUGGGACCCUACUUCCUUCUGCUGAACUGUAAUAACCAUGCUCUGUCUGUGUGUGUGUGUGUGUGUGUGUGUGUGUGUGUGUGUGUGUGUGUGUGUGUGUGUGUGUGUGUGUGUGUGUGUGUGUGUGUGUGUGUGUGUGUGUGUGUGUGUGUGUGUGUGUGUGUGUGUGUGUGUGUGUGUGUGUGUGUGUGUGUGUGUGCAACUGUAAUAACCCUGUUCUCUCAGGGGAAGGUCACACUGUUUAUACAGGCUUUGGUUGCCUGGUUACUGGUUACAUAGUGAGGUAGAGGUUGUUUAUGUUGUCUGGUUACAUAGUGAGGUAGAAGUUGUUUAUGUUGUCUGGUUACAUAGUGAGGUAGAGGUUGUUUAUGUUGUCUGGUUACAUAGUGAGGUAGAGGUUGUUUAUGUUGUCUGGUUACUGGUUACAUAGUGAGGUAGAGGUUGUUUAUGUUGUCUGGUUACUGGUUACAGAGUGAGGUAAAGGUUGUUUAUGUUGUCUGGUUACAUAGUGAGGUAGAAGUUGUUUAUGUUGUCUGGUUACAUAGUGAGGUAGAGGUUGUUUAUGUUGUCUGGUUACAGAGUGAGGUAGCGGUUGUUUAUGUUGUCUGGUUACUGGUUACAUAGUGAGGUAGAGGUUGUUUAUGUUGUCUGGUUACAUAGUGAGGUAGAGGUUGUUUAUGUUGUCUGGUUACUGGUUACAUAGUGAGGUAGAGGUUGUUUAUGUUGUCUGGUUACUGGUUACAGAGUGAGGUAAAGGUUGUUUAUGUUGUCUGGUUACAUAGUGAGGUAGAAGUUGUUUAUGUUGUCUGGUUACAUAGUGAGGUAGAGGUUGUUUAUGUUGUCUGGUUACAUAGUGAGGUAGAGGUUGUUUAUGUUGUCUGGUUACUGGUUACAUAGUGAGGUAGAGGUUGUUUAUGUUGUCUGGUUACUGGUUACAGAGUGAGGUAAAGGUUGUUUAUGUUGUCUGGUUACAUAGUGAGGUAGAAGUUGUUUAUGUUGUCUGGUUACAUAGUGAGGUAGAGGUUGUUUAUGUUGUCUGGUUACAGAGUGAGGUAGCGGUUGUUUAUGUUGUCUGGUUACUGGUUACAUAGUGAGGUAGAGGUUGUUUAUGUUGUCUGGUUACAUAGUGAGGUAGAGGUUGUUUAUGUUGUCUGGUUACUGGUUACAUAGUGAGGUAGAGGUUGUUUAUGUUGUCUGGUUACUGGUUACAGAGUGAGGUAAAGGUUGUUUAUGUUGUCUGGUUACAUAGUGAGGUAGAAGUUGUUUAUGUUGUCUGGUUACAUAGUGAGGUAGAGGUUGUUUAUGUUGUCUGGUUACAUAGUGAGGUAGAGGUUGUUUAUGUUGUCUGGUUACAGAGUGAAGUAGCGGUUGUUUAUGUUGUCUGGUUACUGGUUACAUAGUGAGGUAGAGGUUGUUUAUGUUGUCUGGUUACAUAGUGAGGUAGAGGUUGUUUAUGUUGUCUGGUUACUGGUUACAUAGUGAGGUAGAGGUUGUUUAUGUUGUCUGGUUACAUAGUGAGGUAGAGGUUGUUUAUGUUGUCUGGUUAUAGAGUGAGGUAGAGGUUGUUUAUGUUGUCUGGUUACAUAGUGAGGUAGAGGUUGUUUAUGUUGUCUGGUUACAGAGUGAGGUAGAGGUUGUUUAUGUUGUCUGGUUAUAGAGUGAGGUAGAGUUUGUUUAUGUUGUCUGGUUACAUAGUGAGGUAGAGGUUGUUUAUGUUGUCUGGUUACAUAGUGAGGUAGAGGUUGUUUAUGUUGUCUGGUUACAGAGUGAGGUAGAGGUUGUUUAUGUUGUCUGGUUACUGGUUACAGAGUGAGGUAAAGGUUGUUUGUGUUGUCUGGUUACAUAGUGAGGUAGAGGUUGUUUAUGUUGUCUGGUUACAUAGUGAGGUAGAGGUUGUUUAUGUUGUCUGGUUACAUAAUGAGGUAGAGGUUGUUUAUGUUGUCUGGUUACAGAGUGAGGUAGAGGUUGUUUAUGUGCGUGCGUGCGUGCGUGUGUGUGUGUGUGUGUGUGUGUGUGUGUGUGU